UAGACUUUAUUUUUGUUGCUAAUAUUUAUAUAAUAAAUUUUUUGAGACCCACAUGAAUUGGAGGUCCAGCUCCAUAAAAAUCUCUAUAUUUUACUAUUAUCUCACUUCAUCAUAAUAAAAUCUGACUACAUAUAUUCUAAAAAUAGUGUCAUUAUAUUUUAAUAAAUCUCACGAUUAAAACUUACUCCAACAUAUAAUAAGAAUAUUGCUACCGGUUAAAUUAUAUUCACAGCCAAAAUACUAGUUAAUUCAAAAAUUGUAA
rnacentral:lncRNA from 1 species